rnacentral:rRNA from 1 species
UACGUAGGGGGCAAGCGUUGUCCGGAUUUAUUGGGCGUAAAGAGCGUGUAGGCGGCUUUACAGGUCCGUUGUGAAAACUCGAGGCUCAACCUCGAGACGCCGGUGGAGACCGUAAGGCUAGAGUCCGGAAGAGGAGAGUGGAAUUCCUGGUGUAGCGGUGAAAUGCGCAGAUAUCAGGAGGAACACCGGUGGCGAAGGCGGGUCUCUGGGCCGAUACUGACGCUGAGGAGCGAAAGCGUGGGGAGCAAACAGG